AGCGUUGCUCGGAAUGACUGGGCGUAAAGGGUGCGUAGGCGGCGCUGUAAGUCAGACGUGAAAUUCCUGGGCUUAACCUGGGGACUGCGUUUGAGACUGUGGUGCUAGAGGGUGGAAGAGGCUCGUGGAAUUCCCAGUGUAGAGGUGAAAUUCGUAGAUAUUCGGAAGAACACCAGUGGCGAAGGCGGCUCACUGGACGUGUAUUGACGCUGAGGUACGAAAGCGU
rnacentral:rRNA from 1 species